rnacentral:rRNA from 1 species
UACGUAGGGGGCAAGCGUUGUCCGGAAUCAUUGGGCGUAAAGAGCGCGUAGGCGGUCCGGUCAGUCCGCUGUAAAAGUCAAGGGCUCAACCCUUGAAAGCCGGUGGAUACUGCCGGGCUAGAGUCCGGAAGAGGCGAGUGGAAUUCCUGGUGUAGCGGUGAAAUGCGCAGAUAUCAGGAGGAACACCAACGGCGAAGGCAGCUCGCUGGGACGGUACUGACGCUGAGGCGCGAAAGCGUGGGGAGCGAACAGG